GGGGGGGGGCGCAGUGAAACUGAGAAAAUGUGUUUUUAUGUCUGGCACCCGAGGAACGAUUGAUCCUCUCUGAAAAUGUAUCAUUCCUAAUUCUAGUGUAGGCUAGGUUAUCAGUAGCCUACAUGAUGCAAAUGCAUCUAUGCCUCGCCAGACUAGCUCAUAAUGUUUAAUGUUAUGAUUAUGAACGAUGCGAUGCCUUCUUUAAAACCGUCCACCGUCGACCUCUAGGGUAACGCAUGCAGAUGCAUGCCAAGGUUAUACAUUAACAAUAUUCCAGCAGAAAGUGAUUCUAGCAUCGGUGGAAGUCUGCUUCACUGCUUCAGGGAGAAACGCGGGACAGUGGGGCAGUGUUACAUCACCAAAUUCAGUCUCUUUUUAUGAAUGGAAUCCACCAUUCUGACUGAAAUUCAGUUGUCAGGCAGCGCAGUGCCUCCGGGGCUAACGCGCAAAGGAAGAGGAGAAACAGCCUAAUCGCGCUGUAUAGCCUAUAUGUUACAUAAACUGCAACAUCCUUCCUUAUAAGACAGUUUCUGAAUGAAGAGAGCUACAACCACUAUGUUCAGCACUGGGUAGAGUGAAAAGGGCCUUUUCUCCCAUGUAAGUUGUCAGGGAGGUACACUGUAAAAACUGUAGAAAUGACAGGAAAUGAAUGGCAAAAAAAGUUGCCAGUAAAAGUACUGUAAAACAAGUAAUUUACUGUAAAUUAUAAUUACAACAUGUUGCUGUACUACAAUAACUUACUGUUUAUAAAUAACAGCAAUUUUCUGGAUUAUGACAGUACCUGUACACCUUUCUAAUUAGAUUUACAUUUUAGUCAUUUAGCAGACGCUCUUACCCAGAGCAACUUACAGUAGUGAAUGCAUACAUUUCAUACAUUUUUUUUUAUUUUUCCCCCGUGGGAAUCGAACCCACAACCCUGGCGUUGCAAACACCAUGCCCUACCAACUGAGCCACACAGGACCGUGCGAUUUGUCGCAUUGCAAAUCAAAAAAAAGAAAAAAUAUAUCUUGUUUCCUACUAAGAAGGGUAGUAGUCCUACUCUCAACAGAGUUUUGUGCAACAUGUCUGCCUGGCCUUAUCUUAGGAGGCAAAUCAUUACCUUCACUGUCACGGCUGUCGAAAGGAGCAGACCAAAGUGCAGCGUGGUUGUAGUUGCACAUUUUAUUUAAUCCGUGAAACUUAGCAAUACAUAAAUAACUGAAUAUGACAAAACAACAAACCGUGACGCAGAGAGAAACAAACACUACUCAAAAUAAAAUAACCCACAAAAACCCAGGAAGAAAAACCCCUACUUAAAUAUGAUCUCCAAUUAGAGACAACGAGGACCAGCUGCCUCCAAUUGGAGGUCAACCCAAAAACAACAACAUAGAAAUAGAAAAACUAGAACUUAAACAUAGAAAAACACAAAACACCCCCUGACCUACUCUACCAUAGAAAAUAACCUCUUACUAUGGUCAGGACGUGACAUUCACUCCCAGGUUAAACGCAGAGUAUGUCAUUUUGGGAAUGGUAAUUUGACUUUUUAUUUAUGUGAGAUUAUGGUUAGAAAAGAUCUCAAUGGAUAUUUUGUCCUAUUCCCAGAUUUCCAAUUAUGCCCUUCCCAAAAUGACAUACUCAAGCUUUAAUAAGGGUCAUUGUGUCACCUGAAAUCAGAUCACAUUUAUGUUUCACAAUUAGCUCUGUGAAACAUUGCUAUUGUAAGGCCCUGUCUAAAAAUAAUUACUCACACAGAAAGUCUUAUUGGAUACACUACCUUGAACAAUCAGUCUUGGUGAGUCCGGCAGGUUGAAUUGAUCCCUCCACAUCUGUGGCUGUGGCUGACACCUUGAAAGAUAUAAAACAAAAAAUUCUAUAACUUUCAAUUCACAUAUUUUGAACAUUUGGCACAUCAUAAUUUUAAAUUCUAAUAUACAUAGAAAAUGAUUAUCUUAUGCUUAAGAUGCAGAUCAUUUUACAUUUACAUUUACAUUUUAGUCAUUUAGCAGACGCUCUUAUCCAGAGCGACUUACAAAUUGGUGCAUUCACCUAUAAUAUCCAGUGGAACAACCACUUUACAAUAGUGCAUCUAAAUCUUUUAAGGGGGGG
rnacentral:tRNA from 1 species